CCUACGGGAGGCAGCAGUGGGGAAUAUUGGACAAUGGACGAAAGUCUGAUCCAGCAAUGCCGCGUGAGUGAUGAAGGCCUUAGGGUUGUAAAGCUCUUUUACCAGGGAUGAUAAUGACAGUACCUGGAGAAUAAGCUCCGGCUAACUCCGUGCCAGCAGCCGCGGUAAUACGGAGGGAGCUAGCGUUGUUCGGAAUUACUGGGCGUAAAGCGCACGUAGGCGGUUAUUCAAGUCAGAGGUGAAAGCCCGGGGCUCAACCCCGGAACUGCCUUUGAAACUAGAUAGCUAGAAUCCUGGAGAGGUGAGUGGAAUUCCGAGUGUAGAGGUGAAAUUCGUAGAUAUUCGGAAGAACACCAGUGGCGAAGGCGGCUCACUGGACAGGUAUUGACGCUGAGGUGCGAAAGCGUGGGGAGCGAAACAGGAUUAGAUACCCUGGUAGUCCACGCCGUAAACGAUGAUAACUAGCUGUCCGGGCACAUGGUGCUUGGGUGGCGCAGCUAACGCAUUAAGUUAUCCGCCUGGGGAGUACGGUCGCAAGAUUAAAACUCAAAGGAAUUGACGG
rnacentral:rRNA from 1 species